CUGCGUGAACCUUUAUUGCCAACCGUCGGGGUGUUACAGAUCUCAGGGAGAACAGAGAGUACAUGGGGUUAAGAAGGGAAUAAAAUUACAUGUAGCGGGGGCUAAAUUCUCCCGGCAAGGUGGAACAACAUGGAGCCCCAGUCCCUGAGUUGAAUUUGUUUUUGAAUAUUAUUACAGCGGUGGGACCAAAGUUUAAGAUCUUCCGCAGCGGAGCUUGCCACAUCAUGAAGCCCAAGAUGCAUGUCUCGAAAGACCUUGGCGUUCCGUCGCUUCCAGAUAUUCCAAAGAACAGCCAGUAGAACUGUUGAUCUGGUUUUGUUGUGCCAUUCGCCCUCCCAAGCUUGGAGCAGCCCCUGUGGCGCACCCGGACAUAGGCUGUCUAGCUCCCCCCAAAGUGGAGCUAUGUGCUGACAUUCGAAAAGGAGGUGGUUGAUGGAUUCAUAGUGGUCGCAGAAGGGGCAUGCGGCUGAAGUAGCAAUGCCCCGUCUGAACCGUCGUUGCGAUGAAAUAAUUGUGAAAUGUAUAGCGAAAUCCACAAUUGUCGCUAAUUUUCACACUUGGAGUUUUGGUGUGGAAAAUCUCCAAAGAAUGAAAUAAUUACCAUCGUUGCGAUGCAAAAUAUGUUAUAGCUUGAUAUGAGGCUGAGGGACAGGCAAAAUGGUUAAGUAUACCCAUACCCGGAGUUGAUAAUGGUUGACAACAGCGAUAACCAUUUUAAAUUUUUCCCUCCUAUGACAAUGAGUCAAGUGUUGACGCCAAACACACUGACACAGAGUUAUGCGUUGUAAAGGAGAAAGUCCGGAAUUAUGUAGAAAUGCUUGAUGUAUAAAAGCAACAGACAAGUGUUUGCAGAUCUGCUUAUUGAAGGCUUGCCGCCCAGUGUGUUCGGAGAACACACAGUCGACAUGGGUUUUAUGGUACAGUCUAAGAUUUCCAGACAAUAAAAGGGCCCAAGGUUAAAGAAUCUGUUUCAAAACAGAGGAGUGUGUUGUAGGUGUUGAUUCUAUCAGGAAUGAACCGUGAUGAUGAGACAUGGUCUACAUGCAAAUCUAUGAUGUAAUGAGUAAUUUGAAAAGAGUUAUUCCAAAGUAUAAAUUUAAAAGUAUAAUGAUGAGAUCAAGGGGGAGAAUGUUAGGUUGACCUCUCCACCAAUAGGCCCAACGGCUCAUUGGGCCCUUGACCCACGCCCUGACCGGGGGCGUUCAGCCCAAGCAAGGCUGGUGGGCCCUGUCGCGCAGUGCUAUAAAGAGGAGGUGGGGACCAGGGGCACGGAGUACGAGGUUCGUCGCCGCCACUGUUCCCCACUCCUAACCCUAAUCCGAUCUAGAGGGGGGCGCUGAAGCGAUGGGAAGCCCAUGGGAAGCCCACCGACGCCACCACUCUCUGCCAUCACCGGCCACCUCACCAUGGCCGGCACCGGGAGCUCCUCCACUGCGGGAGAAGGUAGCCACUCUUUCUCCUCUCAUCUCUCUGUGAUCCUCUCCUCACAGAUGAAUACAGAUGCAUAGACAGUGUAUAUACAGAUUUAUCUAUCCCGUAUUCCUAGCCUACACGAUCUAUAGAACCUAACAGUUCCCACUCUUUUGGUUCGUUUAAUUACCCAGGUUAUGCAUGCCUGGCUGUGUGCGUCCCACAUGCAGUGUGCAGCUGAAUCUCUUGGGUCCAUUAAUUCAAUGAGUGUUAGUGUGUCCAGCAUCAGCAACAACACUGAAGUUCCCAGUCUGCUACUGAAGCAUCUGCAAAACUUGGUAUAAAUGUCUGAUCUCCUCGUGUGAUCAGUAGAAUAUGUGCUUAAAAAUUGAACAGUGUUCCACAAAAGUUAUGACAUAGGAGUAUGUUGCUUAGAAACCUAUCGAUAUUUGGGCCCCGUUCGGCAACACUCCGCUCAGCCAGGACGGAGCGGAGCGCCAGGUUAGCAACUCCUCAUAUUACAACUACAUGCAGCUCCGCUCCGGAGUGAAAUUGCGGAGCGGAGGGAUUCCAAACAUGCUCUUGGAGGAAGAUCCGGCCGGCCGCCGCGGCUCGAGCGGUAACAACCACGGACGCGGGAGCCAAUCGUGAGCCGGCUUGGGGAACGUCUUGCCGCGGAGCCGUCUGGAGCCAAAGCAAAGCUUGAGGCGAGCUCCUCGCCGAAUCACCAAGCGUGAGCCGGCUUGGCUGACAGCUGGAGGCAGGUACAGCGUGAACUUGCUCGCCUGACCUUGGCUCGCCUGGCUUCCCGCUCCUCACGCUCACGAAGUCUGGCUUCCCACUCCUUUUUUUUGACGCGUCAACGGCGGGCUUACGCCUGCGUGAACCUUUAUUGCCAACCGUCGGGGUGUUACAGAUCUCAGGGAGAACAGAGAGUACAUGGGGUUAAGAAGGGAAUAAAAUUACAUGUAGCGGGGGCUAAAUUCUCCCGGCAAGGUGGAACAACAUGGAGCCCCAGUCCCUGAGUUGAAUUUGUUUUUGAAUAUUAUUACAGCGGUGGGACCAAAGUUUAAGAUCUUCCGCAGCGGAGCUUGCCACAUCAUGAAGCCCAAGAUGCAUGUCUCGAAAGACCUUGGCGUUCCGUCGCUUCCAGAUAUUCCAAAGAACAGCCAGUAGAACUGUUGAUCUGGUUUUGUUGUGCCAUUCGCCCUCCCAAGCUUGGAGCAGCCCCUGUGGCGCACCCGGACAUAGGCUGUCUAGCUCCCCCCAAAGUGGAGCUAUGUGCUGACAUUCGAAAAGGAGGUGGUUGAUGGAUUCAUAGUGGUCGCAGAAGGGGCAUGCGGCUGAAGUAGCAAUGCCCCGUCUGAACCGUCGUUCAUUCGUGAAGAGGCGGUCCUUGCG
rnacentral:lncRNA from 1 species